rnacentral:rRNA from 1 species
UACGGAGGGUGCAUGCGUUAAUCGGAAUUAUUGGGCGUAAAGAGCAUGUAGGCGGCUUAAUAAGUCGAGCGUGAAAAUGCGGGGCUCAACCCCGUAUGGCGCUGGAAACUGUUAGGCUUGAGUGCAGAAGAGGAAAGGGGAAUUCCCAGUGUAGCGGUGAAAUGCGUAGAUAUUGGGAGGAACACCAGUGGCGAAGGCGCCUUUCUGGACUGUGUCUGACGCUGAGAUGCGAAAGCCAGGGUAGCGAACGGGAUUAGAUACCCCGGUAGUCCUGGCCGUAAACGAUGGGUACUAGGUGUAGGAGGUAUCGACCCCUUCUGUGCCGGAGUUAACGCAAUAAGUACCCCGCCUGGGGAGUACGGCCGCAAGGUUGAA